UACGUAGGUGGCGAGCGUUGUCCGGAUUUAUUGGGCGUAAAGGGCGCGCAGGUGGUGCGGUAAGGCUGCCGUGAAAUCUCCCGGCUCAACUGGGAGGGGGCGGUGGCGACUGCCGGACUGGAGGCACUCAGAGGCCGGUGGAAUUCCCGGUGUAGUGGUGAAAUGCGUAGAGAUCGGCAGGAAGACCAAGGGGGAAGCCAGGCACCUGGGCCCGUACUGACACUCAUGGACGACCGCGUGGGGAGCGAACCGG
rnacentral:rRNA from 1 species